rnacentral:rRNA from 1 species
UACGUAGGGUGCAAGCGUUAAUCGGAAUUACUGGGCGUAAAGCGUGCGCAGGCGGCUUUGCAAGACAGAUGUGAAAUCCCCGGGCUUAACCUGGGAACUGCAUUUGUGACUGCAUGGCUGGAGUGCGGCAGAGGGGGAUGGAAUUCCGCGUGUAGCAGUGAAAUGCGUAGAUAUCGGAAGGAACAUCAGUGGCGAAAGCGGCUUCCUGGUCCAGCACCGACGUUCAGGCACGAAAGCGUGGGGAGCAAACAGG